AGGUGAACCUGCGGAAGGAUCAUUCAUAAUAAGUGUUUUAUGGCACUUUUUAAAUCCAUAUCCACCUUGUGUGCAAUGUCAGUCGAUCUUCUUCAUGGAGAUCGGCCAAACAUCAACCUUAUCUUUUAACUCUUUGUCUGAAAAAUAUUAUGAAUAAACAAUUCAAAAUUCAACUUUCAACAACGGAUCUCUUGGCUCUCG
rnacentral:misc_RNA from 1 species